UACGGGGGGGGGCAAGCGUUGUUCGGAAUUACUGGGCGUAAAGGGCUCGUAGGCGGCCAACUAAGUCAGACGUGAAAUCCCUCGGCUUAACCGGGGAACUGCGUCUGAUACUGGAUGGCUAGAGGUUGGGAGAGGGAUGCGGAAUUCCAGGUGUAGCGGUGAAAUGCGCAGAUAUCAGGAAGAACACCAAUGGCGAAGGCAGCUCUCUGGGACGGUACUGACGCUGAGACGCGAAAGCGUGGGGAGCGAACAGG
rnacentral:rRNA from 1 species